rnacentral:rRNA from 1 species
GACGAACGCUGGCGGCGUGCUUAACACAUGCAAGUCGAACGGAAAGGCCCUGCUUUGGUGGGGUGCGCGAGUGGCGAACGGGUGAGUAACACGUGAGUAACCUGCCCCUGACUGUGGGAUAACUUCAGGACAGUGGGGCUAAUACGGGAUAGGAGCUACUGCUGCAUGGUGGGGGUGGGAAAGAUUCGGCUGUUGGGAAUGGACUAGCGGCGCAUCAGCUUGGUGGUGGGGUAGUGGCUUACCAAGGCUUUGAGGGGUAGCAGGCCUGGGAGGGUAAGCGGCCACGCCAGAACUGAGAUGCGGCCCAGCCUAGUACGGGAGGCGACGGAGGGGAAGGUUGCACUAGGGGCGGAAGCCUGGUGCAGUCACGCCGUGUCGGGGAUGACGGCCAUCGGGUUGUAAUGCGCUUUCGCUUGUCACGAGGUGUGAGUGACGGUACCGGGUAAAGAAGCUCCGGCUAACUACGUG